CAAUACCAUUAGCCUAAGUUUUUUAUAAAACGCGGGGAAACCAAAGAUUUUGGGGUGAAUCGUAUUUUACGUAGGUUUUGCCUUUACCGAACCCGUCAGCUAACCCCGUUGGUAAUAAGGAGAGGAUUA
rnacentral:sRNA from 2 species